rnacentral:tRNA from 4 species
CGGGGCGUAGUAUACCGGUAGUACGCUUGCUUUGGGAGCAAGUAGACCGAGUCCGAUUCUCGGCGCCCCGACAA